rnacentral:tRNA from 1 species
GCAGGCCGGGUUUAAUCCCGUCCUUAUCAUACGA